CGUAAAGCGCGCGUAGGUGGUUUUUUAAGUUGGAUGUGAAAGCCCUGGGCUCAACCUAGGAACUGCAUCCAAAACUAGAUGACUAGAGUACGAAAGAGGGAAGUAGAAUUCACAGUGUAGCGGUGGAAUGCGUAGAUAUUGUGAAGAAUACCAAUGGCGAAGGCAGCUUCCUGGUUCUGUACUGACACUGAGGUGCGAAAGCGUGGGUAGCGAACAGGAUUAGAUACCCUGGUAGUCCACGCCGUAAACGAUGACAACUAGCUGUUGGGAGACAAGAUCUCUCAGUGGCGCAGCUAACGCUUUAAGUUGUCCGCCUGGGGAGUACGGCCGCAAGGUUAAAACUCAAAUGAAUUGACGGGGACCCGCACAAGCGGUGGAGCAUGUGGUUUAAUUCGAUGCAACGCGAAAAACCUUACCUACUCUUGACAUACUUGGAAGCUCUUGUAAUGAGAGUGUGCUUUUAGAGCCAAGAUACAGGUGCUGCAUGGCUGUCGUCAGCUCGUGUCGUGAGAUGUUGGGUUAAGUCCCAUAACGAGCGCAACCCUUACCCUUAUUUGCCAGCGGUUCGGCCGGGAACUAUAAGGGGACUGCCGGUGACAAACCGGAGGAAGGUGAGGACGACGUCAAGUCAUCAUGGCCCUUACGAGUAGGGCUACACACGUGCUACAAUGGGGAAUACAGACGGACGCUAAAGCGUGAGCUGGUGCUAAUCCUAAAAAAUUUCUCGUAGUCCGGAUUGCAGUCUGCAACUCGACUGCAUGAAGUCGGAAUCGCUAGUAAUCGCGAAUCAGCAUGUCGCGGUGAAUACGUUCUCGGGUCUUGUACACACCGCCCGUCACACCAUGGAAGUGUGUUGCACCAGAAGUAGGUAGUCUAACCUUCGGGAAGGCGCUUACCACGGUGU
rnacentral:rRNA from 1 species